rnacentral:rRNA from 1 species
AGUUUGAUCCUGGCUCAUGAUGAACGCUAGCGGUGUGCCUAAUGCGUGCAAUUCGAACGGGAUCCUUUGGACUCAUCUGAAGGUGACAGUGGCGAACGGGUGAGUAUCGCGUUGGUGACCUGCCCCAGAGAGGGGGACAACCAGUGGAAACCCUGGCUAAUACCCCAGAUGUUAUUGCGUUUAGAAAGCAAUGACUAAAAGCUCCGGCGCUCUGGGAGGGGCCUGCGUCCCAUCUGCUAGUUGGUAAGGUAAUGGCUUACCAAGGCAAAGACGGGUAGGGGGCGUGAGAGCGUGGCCCCCCACACUGGUACUGAAACUCCGACCAUAUACCUACGGGUAGCCUCCGCUCCGAAUAUUGCCCAAUGUACCAAAGUCUGAUGCAGCACCUCCGCGUGGAGGACGAAGGCCUUCGGGUUGUAAACUCCCUUUCUACGGAAAGAGAACGGACGGUACCCUACGAAUAAGGACCGGCUAUCUACCUGCCAUCACCCGCGUUAACACGUAUGGGUCAAGCGUUAUCCGGAUUUACUGGGCGUAAAGCGCAUGUACCCGGUUACUUAUGUCGGACGUGAAAGCUCCUGGCUCAGCUACGAGAGGUCGUUUCAAAUUAGGUAACUCUAGUGUGGUAGAGGAAACAGCAAUUCCCGGUGUAGUGGGGGAGUGUGUACAUAUCCGAAGGAACACUAGUGGCGAA